AGUACGAGAGGACCGGGAUGGACAUACCUCUGGUGUACCAGUUUGUCGUGCCAACGGCAUAGCUGGGUAGCUAUGUAUGGACGGGAUAAGUGCUGAAAGCAUCUAAGCAUGAAGCCCCCCUCAAGAUGAGAUUUCCCAACUUCGGUUAUAAGAUCCCUCGAAGAUGACGAGGUUAAUAGGUUCGAGGUGGAAGCGUGGUGACACGUGGAGCUGACGAAUACUAAUCGAUCGAAGACUUAAUCAA
rnacentral:rRNA from 1 species